rnacentral:rRNA from 1 species
CGUAGCAAUACGUGGCACACGGCUCAGUAACACGUAGUCAACAUAACCAAUGGACGUGGAUAAACUCGGGAAACUGAGGCUAAACCGCGAUAGACCAAGAUACCUGGAAUGGUUUUUGAUCAAAAUCUAUAUGGCCUUUGGAUUGGACUGCGACCGAUCAGGCUGUUGGUGAGGUAAUGGCCCACCAAACCUGUAACCGGUACGGGCUCUGAGAGGAGGAGCCCGGAGAUGGGUACUGAGACAAGGACCCAGGCCCUAUGGGGCGCAGCAGGCGCGAAACCUCUGCAAUAGGCGAAAGCCUGACAGGGUUAUUCUGAGUGACUUUCGCUAAGAAAGUCUUUUGACAUCUCUAAAAAUGGUGUAGAAUAAGGGGUGGGCAAGUCUGGUGUCAGCCGCCGCGGUAAUACCAGCACCCCGAGUGGUCGGGACGAUUAUUGGGCCUAAAGCAUCCGUAGCCGGUUUUACAAGUCCUCCGUUAAAUCCAACUGCUUAACAGAUGGGCCGCGGAGGAUACUAUAAGACUAGGAGGCAGGAGAGGCAAGCGGUACUCAGUGGGUAGGGGUAAAAUCCGUUGAUCCAUUGAAGACCACCAGUGGCGAAGGCGGCUUGCCAGAAUGCGCUCGACGGUGAGGGAUGAAAGCUGGGGGAGCAAACCGGAUUAGAUACCCGGGUAGUCCCAGCUGUAAAC